ensembl:snRNA U6 U6 spliceosomal RNA
GUGCUCACUUUGGCAGCACAUAUACUAAAAUUAGAACAAUAUAUGCAAAUUAGUAUGGCCCAGCACAAGGAUGACAUGCAAAUUUGUGAAGUGUUUCAUAUUUUU